CAACCCUCAGGCCCUGGUUGCCUGGUGUUGGGGCGCCGCGCACCCUCUGCGGGCGCGGGCCCCGAAAGUCAGUGGCGGGCUCGCCAGGACUCCGAGCGCAGUAAUUUUCUCUCGCUGUGGAGCGCCUGGUGGGUUACCAGCCGUAAAACACCCCAAAUUCCAAA
rnacentral:misc_RNA from 1 species